rnacentral:rRNA from 1 species
CCUACGGGAGGCUGCAGUGGGGAAUAUUGGGCAAUGGGCGCAAGCCUGACCCAGCAACGCCGCGUGAAGGAAGAAGGCUUUCGGGUUGUAAACUUCUUUUCUCAGGGACGAAGCAAGUGACGGUACCUGAGGUAUAAGCCACGGCUAACUACGUGCAAGCAGCCGCGGUAAUACGUAGGUGGCAAGCGUUAUCCGGAUUUACUGGGUGUAAAGGGCGUGUAGGCGGGACUGCAAGUCAGAUGUGAAAACUACGGGCUCAACCUGUGUACUGCAUUUGAAACUGUAGUUCUUGAGUACAGGAGAGGUAGACGGAAUUCGUGGUGUAGCGGUGAAAUGCGUAGAUAUUAGGAGGAACACCGGUGGCGAAGGCAGUCUGCUGGACAGCAACUGACGCUGAGGCGCGAAAGCGUGGGGAGCAAACAGGAUUAGAUACCCCUGUAGUC